rnacentral:rRNA from 1 species
GACGAACGCUGGCGGCGUGCUUAACACAUGCAAGUCGAACGGUGAAGCUCCAGCUUGCUGGAGUGGAUCAGUGGCGAACGGGUGAGUAACACGUGAGCAACCUGCCCCUGACUCUGGAAUAAGCGCUGGAAACGGCGUCUAAUACUGGAUACGAGAAGGGUCCGCAUGGGCACUUUCGGGAAAGUUUUGCGGUUGGGGAUGGGCUCGCGGCCUAUCAGCUUGUUGGUGAGGUAAUGGCUCACCAAGGCGACGACGGGUAGCCGGCCUGAGAGGGUGACCGGCCACAAUGGGACUGAGACACGGCCCAGACUCCUACGGGAGGCAGCAGUGGGGAAUAUUGCACAAUGGGCGAAAGCCUGAUGCAGCGACGCCGCGUGAGGGAUGACGGCCUUCGGGUUGUAAACCUCUUUCAGCAGGGAAGAAGCGAAAGUGACGGUACCUGCAGAAGAAGCACCGGCUAACUACGUG